AAUAGUCGAAAUGGAUGAACCAAAUACAUCAUGGUGGGCCCCAUGGAGCCCCCGCCCGGACUGUCCAUGGUCCAUCACACCCAAAAACUGGGUGCGCUCUCAAAAACACAGCCGCGCCGAGAGUGCGCCCAAAACUUUUCAUCUCUCUCUCUCCCUCUUCGUUCCCUACCCUAUUUUCCACUGCUCUCCCCGCCCCUGACUCUCUCUCUCUCUCUCUCUCUCUCUCUCUCUCUCUCUCUCUCUCGUGCGUGCGUGGGGCAUUGAAUGUUGGAUCUAGCAUGGCGUCGGCACUGAGAAGUGAAGCAUCUCUCUCUAUCUCUGUAGCAGAUCUCGAAAGGUUGGCAUGUCUAUUCGUGUAGAGAUGACUAUGGAGGGGAUUGCAAACCUCUAAGGCCUUGUGCCUGGGUAAUUGAUUAUGGAGUUCAUAAGCUUUGGAAAUACAAUAAUGUUGGGGAGGGGUCUCGCCCCUAUAUUUGACAAUAUGAACAGGGGAUGUACAAUCCACACACAUUCAGGUGGGCACCACAAGAAUGUCGGGCCUCAUAAUCAGGUAACUCAUGCUGCAAUGGAAUUCUUCACAGCAAUUACUGGGAUCUCCUUGAACUUUGUUUGAUAUGCUCUUCCUACAAACUAGGACUUUC